UACUUCUUUCGGUACAAUAUACAAGGUGCUGCAUGGUUGUCGUCAGCUCGUGCCGUGAGGUGUCGGGUUAAGUCCCAUAACGAGCCGCAACCCUAUCAUUAGUUGCCAUCAGGUCAAGCUGGGGACUCUAAUGAAACUGCCUACGCAAGUAGUGAGGAAGUGGGGAUGACGUCAAAUCAGCACGGCCCUUACGUCCAGGGCUACACACGUGCUACAAUGGCCGGUACAAAGGGCAGCUACCUGGUGACAGGAUGCUAAUCUCAAAAGCCGGUCUCAGUUCGGAUCGGAGUCUGCAACCCGACUCCGUGAAGCCGGAAUCGCUAGUAAUCGCGCAUCAGCCAUGGCGCGGUGAAUACGUUCCCGGGCCUU
rnacentral:rRNA from 1 species